CUGCAGUCGAACGGAAACAUGUCUAGCUUGCUAGAUGAUGUCGAGUGGCGGACGGGUGAGUAAUGCUUGGGAACUUGCCUUUGCGAGGGGGAUAACAGUUGGAAACGACUGCUAAUACCGCAUAAUGUCUACGGACCAAACNGGGCUUCGGCUCUGGCGCAAAGAGAGGCCCAAGUGAGAUUAGCUAGUUGGUGAGGUAAAGGCUCACCAAGGCAACGAUCUCUAGCUGUUCUGAGAGGAAGAUCAGCCACACUGGGACUGAGACACGGCCCAGACUCCUACGGGAGGCAGCAGUGGGGAAUAUUGCACAAUGGGGGAAACCCUGAUGCAGCCAUGCCGCGUGUGUGAAGAAGGCCUUCGGGUUGUAAAGCACUUUCAGUUGUGAGGAAAAGUUAGUAGUUAAUACCUGCUAGCCGUGACGUUAACAACAGAAGAAGCACCGGCUAACUCCGUGCCAGCAGCCGCGGUAAUACGGAGGGUGCGAGCGUUAAUCGGAAUUACUGGGCGUAAAGCGCACGCAGGCGGUUUGUUAAGCUAGAUGUGAAAGCCCCGGGCUCAACCUGGGACGGUCAUUUAGAACUGGCAGACUAGAGUCUUGGAGAGGGGAGUGGAAUUCCAGGUGUAGCGGUGAAAUGCGUAGAUAUCUGGAGGAACAUCAGUGGCGAAGGCGACUCCCUGGCCAAAGACUGACGCUCAUGUGCGAAAGUGUGGGUAGCGAACAGGAUUAGAUACCCUGGUAGUCCACACCGUAAACGCUGUCUACUAGCUGUUUGUGACUUUAAGUCGUGAGUAGCGAAGCUAACGCGAUAAGUAGACCGCCUGGGGAGUACGGCCGCAAGGUUAAAACUCAAAUGAAUUGACGGGGGCCCGCACAAGCGGUGGAGCAUGUGGUUUAAUUCGAUGCAACGCGAAGAACCUUACCUACACUUGACAUGUUGAGAAGUUACCAGAGAUGGUUUCGUGCCUUCGGGAACUCAA
rnacentral:rRNA from 1 species